rnacentral:SRP_RNA from 1 species
UGAGAGGUUGCGCGGGCAGACGCCUCGCCAACCUGGUCAGGUCCGGAAGGAAGCAGCCACAACGAGUCCCGUUUGGGUCGAUGCAAUCUCUCACCUUU